rnacentral:lncRNA from 1 species
UAAUACCGCUCAAAAUGAGGCCACCCAGUAGUUAGGUGUGAAUUUUCGAGACCUUCGGCACCGUUCUAAGAUGGGUCCUCUCUUCGUAGGCUAAUGCAUUGGCCCUUUUUGACCCGUUUUGGGCGAAAACAAAAACUGACUCCGGGCGUAUUUUUUUCGGCCUUUAUGGGCAGAGAACUUUAAUACCGCUCAAAAUGAGGCCACCCAGUAGUUAGGUGUGAAUUUUCGAGACCUUUGGCACCGUUCUAAGAUGGGUCCUCUCUUCGUAGGCUAAUGCAUUGGCCCUUUUUGGGGCGAAAACAAAAACUGACUCCCGGCGUAUUUUUUUCGGCCUUUAUGGGCAGAGAACUUUAAUACCGCUCAAAAUGAGGCCACCCAGUAGUUAGGUGUGAAUUUUCGAGACCUUCGGCACCGUUCUAAGAUGGGUCCUCUCUUCGU